rnacentral:rRNA from 1 species
GACGAACGCUGGCGGCGUGCUUAACACAUGCAAGUCGAACGGAAAGGCCCUGCUUUUGUGGGGUGCUUGAGUGGCGAACGGGUGAGUAACACGUGAGUAACCUGCCCUUGACUUUGGGAUAACUUCAGGAAACUGGGGCUAAUACCGGAUAGGAGCUCCUGCUGCAUGGUGGGGGUUGGAAAGUUUCGGCGGUUGGGGAUGGACUCGCGGCUUAUCAGCUUGUUGGUGGGGUAGUGGCUUACCAAGGCUUUGACGGGUAGCCGGCCUGAGAGGGUGACCGGCCACAUUGGGACUGAGAUACGGCCCAGACUUCUACGGGAGGCAGCAGUGGGGAAUAUUGCACAAUGGGCGGAAGCCUGAUGCAGCAACGCCGCGUGCGGGAUGACGGCCUUCGGGUUGUAAACCGCUUUCGCCUGUGACGAAGCGUGAGUGACGGUAAUGGGUAAAGAAGCACCGGCUAACUACGUG